rnacentral:rRNA from 1 species
UACGAAGGGGGCUAGCGUUGUUCGGAAUCACUGGGCGUAAAGGGCGCGUAGGCGGCCGAUUAAGUCGGGGGUGAAAGCCUGUGGCUCAACCACAGGAUUGCCUUCGAUACUGAUUGGCUUGAGACCGGAAGAGGUAAGUGGAACUGCGAGUGUAGAGGUGAAAUUCGUAGAUAUUCGCAAGAACACCAGUGGCGAAGGCGGCUUACUGGUCCGGUUCUGACGCUGAGGCGCGAAAGCGUGGGGAGCAAACAGG